CCACCUGCAAUGCAGGAGAUCUGGGUUCAAUUCCUGGGUUGGGAAGAUCCACCGAAGAAGGAAAUAGCUACUCACUCCUGUAUUCUUGCCGGUAGAAUUCCACGGAGAGAAGCCUAAUGGGCUACAGUCCAUGGGGUCGCACAGAGUUGGACACGCCUAAGCAACUAACACUUACAUACUUUCACUUUCAAGUUAUAUAUUGCUAUUUAUAAAUAAAACUUCUAUAUAAAACUUAGAAUCAGCUAAAUAUGGCAUAGUUUACAAAGCAAGAAUCUUAAAGCUACUAACUUUCCACAAACCAUAUAAUAAGCCACAAAGAUGUAAGUGCUAUUUUUUCAAUGCUUAGUCUACUAAAACGGCUAGCUUUUACUUAAGCACAUCUUACACAUAAACACAGAAAAGAAAAAAAAAAACAAACUCAUUGCUUCCUGAUUAUUUUACUCCAUUUUCCUCUACGUUCUUUGGGUGGAGAUAUUACAUAACCACGUGCUACUCAGCCCCUUUUCUCAACCUGAAAUUCAGUAACAUCACAUUCACUGCUUGAAACCAGCUAUGGUGGGAGUAUUUACACCACAGAAAUCAGCAAACACUAGAAAUCAGGACUUCCUUCACCCCCAGAGAGCCAGCUGUUAAACACUCACCAUGAUGAGCUCUGCACUAAUUGCCUGACUCUGCUAUACAAUAGUUCAGCAGCUAGCACAGUGCUCGGAACACAGCAGGCAUUAAAAUCUGAAGGGACACUAGAACAAGCUUCCCUGAAAGUCAUUUGCAAAAGUAUAAGAAGAAGAAAUAAAUUGCAAAACUACAAUGUAUUCUCUUUGACAAGUUAUAUACAGUUUUAUAUGUACUCUAUUAAAUAACAUCCCAUUAAUUCAAAUAAAUGUCUCAUAAAACAAUGAUUCAACUUAGCUACAGUUGGCAUUUUUCCAAACAAAUAAUCAGACUUUUAAAAGAAAUACAUUCUUGCCUCAGUUUUGUUUAGUUUGCAUUUCAGCAAAUUUAUAAAGAAAUUUUUCUAUAAAAAAAGCAUGUUUAGGUAGAUAUAUUCCUAAGUAUUUUAUUCUUUUCGUUGCAAUGGU
rnacentral:lncRNA from 1 species